AUACCUUUCUCGGCCUUUUGGCUAAGAUCAAGUGUAGUAUCUGUUCUUAUCAGUUUAAUAUCUGAUAUGUGGGUCAUUGACUCACACGAUAUUAAAUUAAUUUUUUUAAGGGGGAGAAGCCAUCAAAAUAGCUUGCUAUUUGGUUUCUCAAGAGUAGCCCUUGCCUUGCACUAUAGUAUGGGCUGGCACACCCCAC